rnacentral:piRNA from 1 species
GCCCCCGUGCCUAAUGGA